rnacentral:rRNA from 1 species
UACGGGGGGGGCAAGCGUUGUUCGGAAUUACUGGGCGUAAAGGGCUCGUAGGCGGCCAACUAAGUCAGACGUGAAAUCCCCUCGGCUUAACCGGGGAACUGCGUCUGAUACUGGAUGGCUUGAGUUUGGGAGAGGGAUGCGGAAUUCCAGGUGUAGCGGUGAAAUGCGUAGAUAUCUGGAGGAACACCGGUGGCGAAGGCGGCAUCCUGGCCAACACUGACGCUGAGUGAGCGAAAGCCAGGGGGAGCAAAACGGGG